UACGUAGGGGGCAAGCGUUGUCCGGAAUCAUUGGGCGUAAAGCGCGUGUAGGCGGCUUGGUAAGUCCGCUCUGAAAGCCCGGGGCUCAACCCCGGGAGGCGGGUGGAUACUGCUGGGCUCGAGUCCGGAAGAGGAGUGUGGAAUUCCUGGUGUAGCGGUGAAAUGCGCAGAUAUCAGGAAGAACACCUAUGGCGAAGGCAGCUCUCUGGGACGGUACUGACGGCUGAGACGCGAAAGCGUGGGGAGCGAACAGG
rnacentral:rRNA from 1 species